rnacentral:rRNA from 1 species
UACGUAGGGCGCAAGCGUUGUCCGGAAUUAUUGGGCGUAAAGAGCUCGUAGGCGGUGUGUUACGUCGGCCGUGAAAACCUGCAGCUUAACUGUGGGCGUGCGGUCGAUACGGGCAUCACUGGAGUUCGGCAGGGGAGACUGGAAUUCCUGGUGUAGCGGUGAAAUGCGCAGAUAUCGGGAGGAACACCGGUGGCGAAGGCGGUUCUCUGGGCCUUACCUGACGCUGAGGAGCGAAAGCCAGGGGAGCAAACGGG